GAGCAAGAACGUGUAAUAUAAAUGACGUAAAUACUUGCAUUGAAGGUUGGCAAUAACAAAGAAGCGAUUCUCCGUGCCUGUCAGAGUCAUUUCAUUUUGAUUAGGCCUCGAACAAGUCGCUACAUU
rfam:Daucus carota subsp. sativus cultivar DH1 chromosome 8, whole genome shotgun sequence.